rnacentral:lncRNA from 1 species
CUGUGCAGUUUUAUUAACCAUUCAAGUCCAGUAGCAUCUGGUAAGAUUGGGACAGAAUUGGGAUUGAAAAGUGAACAGAUAUUCAGCAUCUAACAGUUCAAAAGAAGCCACUACAUACUCUUUUCACAAAUAUGUUUUCACAGAGCCAAUACAGUACUAGCCAUUAACCCAGUACACCAAGUGUACUGAAGUAGAAAAGAUGCAACAAGAAAAAUAGCUACAUUAGAAAGACCAACACUUUAGAAAAAGAGUAAAACACUUUCAGUUUCUCCCCUUUAGCCCCUAAAACAACAUCUUACAGUCUGGAUCUGGAUCUACCUAUACAGUCCUACAUUAGCUUCUAAAAUAUUUGUCAGGAGGGAAAAAAUAAAAUGACACUGGCCAGUACAGUCUUUGGAUAUUUAGGAAGGGGAUGGGGAGAAAGUCAGUUCUCAGAACAAAUUAGUCAGCUUCAGUCUCGUCAGCAGGGUCUUUGGAUUCUUUGUUCUUCCGCACUUCUUCAAUGUGCUUAUCCUUCUCUCGCAAACGUUCCAGUUUGGCAGCCAUUUGUGCCUCUCGGUUCUCUUUAUUAGCUUCCAUUUUGUGGGUCAGUUUCUCUUCUGCCAUUUUACUGAAGUUGUUGUUCUCUUCUAUUGCCUUCUGAAGCACUUCUUUCUCGUGCUCUCGUUUCUCAGCCAGCUGCUUCAAGACCUCAGCUUCAUGGGACUUGCGUCUUUCUUCUGCAGCUUCUAAUUUCUUCUGAAUUUCCUCCAGGGAAAGAUCCUUCUUCUUUGGAGGGGAAAGGGGGAAUUCUGGAACAGAUUCUUUUGACCGAGGGCUGAGAAUCAGCUCAAAAGCCUGGCCUGAGGCACGCUUCUCCAGUUCUUUCACCUGGAUAUCAGAAGAAGCCAUGGUGAAUAGAAGACAAGCGACAGGCAGUGUAUUCUGCACAAUCAACUGGGAUAAGGAAAGUCCUG